UUUGUUCAAUUGUAUUUGUCAAAUAAUGACCUCUGGUGGCGGCUUUGGGUGUAGUUGAAUUCCUGCCUUUCUUUUCCUAUGAAGCAGACGUGUCUAACAAUGCUAAAGGACAGCUACGUUCUGGUUCGACCCACAUGAGGCUGUAAGUUGUUUCAAUGAAUGUAUGUUGGUGUGUGUAUUUGUCGUUAAGCGGGGAGAUAUUGUUUGUAUAGUUAUAUUUAGCGUUUUACGAGGAGAGAAGGGAGAACACGUUAGCAUUUUUAGCAUCAAAGCUAGCGGACUUUUGUAUACAAAUGGUGCAGAUUUAAUUUACUAAAUGUAUAUAUUGAUUGAAUGGAAGGGACAUUUGGCGACUUUGUUUUGUGUGAAAUAUUUAGUAUUGAUAUGUACGUCAUUUUCAACAUUUUUGUAUGUGUGUUUUCAGUUUUACGAAUUCAUCAAGAGUGAGGAAGUAAAGACUUCAAAAUCCACUUUUGCCUCGUUGUGCUGUCUGUCUAGCUAAACAGGCUCACGUUUAGUGAGGACAGAACAGUAAAAAGCCUCAUUAUCAACAGUUGGAGCCAGAAGCUGUUACUCCAAGCAUAAAGACAUAAUGUUGAAGCAAGUGGACGCUCAAUCGCAAAGUCAGCAGAGAAGCUGCUCACCAAGUAGUCAAGGUGAGUUAUGGGAAACAAGGUCUCGUUGCUCCAGAUCCUCAAAGCAGUCUACAAGGUCAUCAGCAAGCGUUGCAGCCCUCAAAGCGCGAGCCAAAGCUGGGGCUGCACAAGCGCAGUUGGCUUUUGCAGAAGAGGAAGCUGAAGCCAUGAAGCAACAGGCUCAAAUCCAAGCUCAACUUCAUGUACUGAAGGUGAAGAAGGAGGCAGCAGCUGCAUCAGCAGAAGCGGACAUCCUGGAAGCAGCAAUUCAGCAGGAAGAAGCACAACCACUUUGUCAUCCAUCAUCCAUCGACUUUGUGGACUCUAAACAAAAGGUUCAAAAUUAUAUCGACAGUCAAGUAAUCCAGCCAGUACAACACCCAGUCCCAUGCUGGAACCCCUUCCACCAAAUUGACAACUCAAGCAUUCAACCUCAACCAUUACCUCAACAAAAUUCCCACACUUUCAACUGCAUAUCAUCACCUAUUCCUGGCGCUACAUCUCCAGCUCCAAUUCACCAGUAUCAGCCACUCAGUUCAUCUCUUCCCCACCCUCAGCAGAAAACAAAUGUAAGUGAUGUAGCAAAAUAUCUGAUGAGACGUGAACUUGUAACAGGCACCAUGCAGAGAUUCGACGAUGAUCCACAAAAUUAUCGCAGCUGGAAAUCAUCUUUUGUGAACAUCACUAAAGACCUAGCUCUGUCAGACAAAGAAGAGCUAGAUCUUCUACUGAAAUGGCUUGGGCCCAAGUCAACUGAACAAGCAAAGAGAAUCAGUGCAGCUCAAGUCAAUAACACAACUUCUGCGCUCAAAAUGGUUUGGCAGCGACUAGAAGAAACGUUUGGUGCACCUGAGGUAAUUGAGCAUGCCCUCUUUAAGAAAAUUGAGGACUUUCCUAGAAUUGCGUCUAGAGAAAAUACUAAGCUAAGAGAGCUGGGGGAUCUCUUAAUGGAACUUGAACUUACAAAAGCAGAAGGUCAUUCUCCAGGGUUAGCCUUUCUAGACACCGCCAGGGGUGUCAAUCCCAUUUUGGAGAAGUUGCCAUAUUCACUACAAGAAAAGUGGAUUUCAUAUGCAUCUAAAUACAAACUAGAUCAUGGUGUCAUAUUUCCACCAUUUUCAGUCUGUUCUAGAUUUGUGCAAGAGCAAGCACGCAUAAGAAAUGACCCAAGUUUUUCAUUUCUUUCAGCAACUCAGUUCAAGUUUGAUAAACAAGUUAAAAGCAGCACUCGCCCAAUGAUAUCCGUGAAAAAGACUGAAAUUGCUGUAGACACUGAGUUAAAAGAGGUAUGUGAAGAGCCAGACAAACAAUGUCCGUUGCAUAACAAGCCACACCCCCUCAGAAGAUGUCGCACUUUUCUCACCAAGCCUCUUGAUGAGAGAAAGGCGUACCUGAAAGAGAAAGGCAUAUGCUUCAGGUGCUGUGCGUCAACCAAACACCAAGCGAAAGACUGUACUAUUAAAGUCACAUGCAAAGAAUGUCAGAGUGAAAGACACAAUACAGCUCUUCAUCCAGGUCCUCCUUCAACCGACAUCAAACCGUCUUCAGAGGCGCGUCAGCACGGCGGGGAGACCGAGUCAAGUCUACAACCCGUUUCCGCUACCACAAUGUGCACCGAGGUAUGUGGGGAACAACGUAGUCCUAGAUCUUGUGCGAAGAUAUGUUUAGCUAAAGUUUAUCCAGCAGGCCAACGAGAAAAGGCUAUAAACUUGUAUGCUGUCAUGGACGAACAAAGUAACCAAUCCCUUGCUCGUUCAGACUUUUUUGACAUCUUCAGAGUAUACGGAAGCAGAGAGAUUUAUACUCUGAAGACAUGUUCAGGUGUCAUGGAAGUGAGCGGGAGGAAAGCCAAAGACUUUAUUAUUGAGUCAAUAGAUGGUCGUGUAAAAGUGCCACUUCCUCCUAUGCUAGAAUGUGACAUGAUCCCAGAAGAUCGUUCUGAGAUACCUGCACCAGAAGUCACACAACACUAUCCACAUUUAAAGGCACUCUCACACAAAAUCAGUCCUGUAGAUCCAAACGCACAGAUCCUCUUGCUGCUCGGUAGAGACAUCCUGAGGUUGCACAAAGUGAGAGAGCAAUGUAAUGGUCCCAGUAAUGCACCAUUCGCGCAGCGCCUUGACCUAGGCUGGGUCAUCGUGGGUGAUGUAUGUGUAAAUGGAGUGCACAAACCAGUCUCUAUUACAGCAUACAAAACAAACACCUUGUUCAAUGGACGGCCAUCAUAUCUCGAUGCCUGCACAAAUGUCCUACAAGUCAAAGAAAAAAAGGUAACCAACGUAAAAGAUGACAUGCACAGCUUCACAGACACUUAUCAAAUAAAACGAUCAGACAAUCUUGGGGAUACAAUCUUCGUCAAAGGAGAGGAUGAUGAAAUGUUGGCACCGUCACAACAAGAUGCAGAAUUUCUCAAAAUAAUGCAAAAUGAAAUGUACCAGGAUGAGACAAACAAUUGGGUUGCACCGCUUCCAUUUGUUACACCCAGACAGCGUCUACCAAACAACAGACAACAAGCUUUAAAGAGACUUUACACACUCAAACGUAGUCUUGACAAAAAGCCUGAAACAAGAGAGCACUUUGUACAGUUCAUGCAAAAAAUCUUAAACAACCAGCAAGCAGAAACCGCACCUCCCUUGCAACCUGAGGAAGAGUGCUGGUACCUCCCAAUGUUCGGGGUGUACCACCCUCAAAAACCCCAUCAAAUUCGUGUGGUUUUUGAUUCAAGUGCCAAACAUGAGGGUGUAGCGUUGAAUGAUGUCCUCUUAAGCGGCCCAGAUCUUAACAAUGCGUUACUAGGAGUGCUCAUCAGAUUCCGUAAGGAGCCUAUUGCAGUAACGGCAGAUGUGGAACAAAUGUUCUACUGCUUCAAAGUGCGAGAAGAUCAUCGCAAUUUCCUGCGAUUCCUUUGGCACAAAGACAAUGACGUCGCAAAGGAAAUUAUUGAGUACCGCAUGAAAGUGCAUGUGUUUGGAAAUCGUCCGUCUCCCUCUGUUGCAAUCUACGGAUUACGCAAAGCUGCUGGGGUAGGAGAAACGGAAUAUGGCAAAGAAGCAUCACAGUUUGUUAUCAGAAAUUUUUAUGUGGACGAUGGUCUGGUCUCACUCCCGACAGAACUUGAAGCGAUCACGCUCCUGCAAAACACUCCGAAAAUGUUGGCUGUGUCAAACUUGCGCCUACAUAAAUUUGCUUCUAAUAGCAGCAAAGUCAUGGAGGCGUUUCCAACAAGCGACUUGGCAAAAGACAUUAAAAGCCUAAACCUAGACAAUGACCCGUUGCCUGUUCAGAGAAGUUUAGGCAUCAGCUGGAGUCUUGAAUCUGACACUUUCACCUUCCACGUGAGCAAAGAGAAAAAACCCUUCACCAAAAGAGGCAUACUAUCCACUGUCAAUAGUUUGUAUGACCCCUUGGGGUUUGUUUCGCCUAUAACUGUACAGGGAAAAGCACUCAUCCGAGAAUUCACCUUGGAACCAUGCGACUGGGAUGACCCCUUGCCUGCAAACAAAGAGAGAUUGUGGACUGCAUGGAAGGAUUCACUUCUCGAGGUAGAGAACAUACACAUUCCUAGGUCGUAUGUACCACAGUCUAUGUCCUCAACACAGCACAGAGAACUUUGUGUUUUCAGCGAUGCUUCAUCUACAGCAAUAGCAGCAGUUGCUUACAUUCAAGUUAAAAAUGACCAUGGACAGUAUUUCAGUGGAUUUGUCAUGGGAAAAUCCAAACUAGCACCGAGACCAGCGCACACAAUCCCACGUUUAGAACUGUGCGCAGCUGUCCUCGCUGUAGAAAUGGCAGAGCUCAUAUGCCAAGAAAUCGACAUUAAGCUCCAUGAUGUCAGGUUCUACACUGACAGUAAGAUUGUGCUAGGUUACAUCUAUAACAUCUCAAGAAGGUUUUAUGUCUAUGUAUCAAACAGAGUCUCAAGAAUCAGAAAGUCAUCUGUACCAUCGCAGUGGCAUCAUGUUUCAUCGGAAAACAACCCGGCAGACAUUGCCACACGUCCAAUAGCAGCGCUAUUGCUACCACAAACCUACUGGUUCACAGGCCCACCUUUCCUGAACAAAGACCUGUCACAGUUUCCUCCCAUGGAAGAUAACAGCAACUUCAAACUAAUCGAACCGGAACAAGACGUCGAGGUUCGACCGGAAGUCAAUGUCUGUGCUACCCAAGUGAGCUUCAAACAUCUCAGCCCACACCGCUUUGAAAGAUUCUCAUCGUGGAAACAUCUAAUAAGAGGCAUGGCAAAACUCAUUGCAGUCGUCAGAAACAAAUCCAAAACUGCAGACAAAAAAAGUACAAAUCUACAAACUCAAGCAAAACUGUCAGUCAUUGCAAGUGUUCAACGAAAUGCAUUCAAAGAGGAAAUGACAAAGCUUAAAAAAGGAGAGCAUAUCGCAAAAACAAGUCCCUUGUGGAAUUUAAACUCAUUCAUAGACUCAGAAGGACUGUUAAGAGUGGGAGGUCGAACAUCUCUUGCCAAUCUUCCAUAUGAUGAAAAGCACCCACUGAUACUCCCUAAAAGGCAUCAUGUGUCAACUUUGCUUGUGAGAUAUUACCACCAAGAUGUCGCUCAUCAAGGUCGUCACCUCACCGAGGGAGCACUUCGAUCUGCAGGUGUCUGGAUAAUUGGCGCAAGAAAACUUGUCUCAAGUGUCAUUUAUCAAUGUGUCACAUGUCGCAAACUUAGGGGUAAGCCUGCUGAACAGAAAAUGGCCAACUUGCCCGAAGACCGUCUUACAAUCGAGCCUCCUUUCACAAGGGUAGGUCUAGAUGUUUUUGGGCCCUGGACUGUUGUCACCCGCAAAACAAGAGGCGGUAGCGCUGACAGCAAACGUUGGGCAGUUUUGUUCAGCUGUCUGGGCACCCGCGCAGUUCACAUAGAAGUCAUAGAAUCUAUGUCUACAUCAAGUUUUAUUAAUGCAUUACGAAGGUUUUUCGCAGUCAGGGGUCCUGCCAAAGUUUUGAGGUCAGACCGUGGCACUAACUUUAUAGGUGCUUGUAAAGAGUUGAAAAUAAGCACCGAUGACUCUGAGAUUCAAGAUUACUUGAGCAAAGAAGGCUGCACAUGGACUUUCAACACACCUUAUUCAUCGCAUAUGGGAGGCUCAUGGGAAAGAAUGAUAGGCAUCGCCCGUCGCAUUCUUGAUGCCAUGCUAUUGCAAGCAGGUCCUACUCGCCUCACACACGAAGUUCUGACAACGCUCAUGUCAGAAGUUAUGGCUAUCAUGAAUUGCCGACCAUUAGUUCCCAUCACCACUGAUUCAGAGACACCAACAGUUUUGACGCCAUCCAUGCUCCUAACCCAAAAGAAAGGUGCUGCUCCUGCUCCAGAAGGUACGUUCGACAUCAAGGACAUGUACAAAAAGCAAUGGAAGCAUGUUCAAAGUCUUGCAGAUGCCUUUUGGAAACGCUGGAGACAAGAAUAUCUGACAGCUCUUCAAGUAAGAAAGAAAUGGACUCAGGACAAGGACAAUAUCACAGAAGGAGAUGUCGUCUUAGUUAAAGAUGAACUACUGAAACGCAACGAAUGGCCCAUCGGACUCAUUACAAAGUGCAUCCCAAGUGAAGACAAAAGAAUCCGAAAAGUGGAAGUACGAGUUGUCAAGCAAGGGACUCCGCGUGUCUAUUUGCGACCAAUAAACCAACUGAUUUUGUUACUCCCUCGUCAUAGUGAAACAAAAAAGACUGAUUAAGUUUAUACAUUUUGUGGUAUAAAGUAUUUAUACCAGACGGGGAGUGUGAUGGUUUGUUCAAUUGUAUUUGUCAAAUAAUGACCUCUGGUGGCGGCUUUGGGUGUAGUUGAAUUCCUGCCUUUCUUUUCCUAUGAAGCAGACGUGUCUAACAAUGCUAAAGGACAGCUACGUUCUGGUUCGACCCACAUGAGGCUUUUUACGAAUUCAUCAAGAGUGAGGAAGUAAAGACUUCAAAAUCCACUUUUGCCUCGUUGUGCUGUCUGUCUAGCUAAACAGGCUCACGUUUAGUGAGGACAGAACAAGCGCCAUGCACUGACAAACAUAUUUUUGCUCGCAUUUCACAAAGCUAAACAUGCACGUUCAAUGAGCUCUUAUGAGGAGGAGGACAUCCCACUUUUACAAAGGCUUGGAGUUAAUGUGGGAGCCGCAUAAUGCCCUUUAUUUUGAAUUAGUAUUGCUUUUAUGUUUAUUUCUUUACAUUUCACUUCAAAGUAAUGGCAAUUUUGUUGUGCCAGUUGAUGUUAAUCAGGCAUUAAUUGUUAAUAUAAUUAAUUAAAGGUAUUUGGCUCUAACUAAAGCUUGUCAUAAUUUUAUCGCAUCAGGCGGGUCGGCUCUCAAGCUCAAUGAGGACCAAGUCACAUCUCCAGGUCCUCCUCUGAGAACCUGGGCAAAAAAAAUAUGCUCACCCCUGGUUAUAAUAAUGGACCGGUAAAUGGUAUCGGCGCCGUCUUUGUUGGUACUCGCCGAUACCACCAUUUUGGGCCGGAUCGGUGCCCCCUGCUGAUACUAGUAUCGGUAUCGGUGCAUCUUUAGUAUUUAUAUUUAAGUAUUACCUCAUUGGCUGCCUGCCACUGACGGCGAUAGACAUCCAAUCCAUUUUGGCUGGCAGGACUGAAAUGGAUUGGAUGUCUUUAAUUGUUAAUGGAAGUGAAUGAGUUAAGGACUACAAGCAACAAAAUAAUCCAGAGGUAUAAGUAUAACCACCCCUCUUCCCGAUAUAUAUAUAUAUAUAUAUAUAUAUAUAUAUAUAUAUAUAUAUAUAUAUAUAUAUAUAUAUACGUAGUAGUAUUUACAGUAUAGAAACAAACUUUGCAGAACAGCAACAUGUCCAGCGACAGCAUAAAAGGCAAGAGAAUAAAGAACCAAGAUAGCUCAGUUUAUCAUAUUGGAUGACCAACUUGAUUUUUUAUGUAUGUGUAUUCAUGCAAAGCAAAAAUAUUCAUAAUACAUUUGUUUUCAACCUUAUUUUGUGCUGCACAACUGAAUCUUGCUUGUUUGUAGGUGACCAAAUACUUAUUUUCCACUCUAAUUUGGAAAUAAAUUCUUUAAAAA